UACAGAGGGGGCAAGCGUUGUUCGGAAUUACUGGGCGUAAAGGGCGCGUAGGCGGCCUGUUAAGUCACACGUGAAAUCCCUCGGCUCAACCGGGGAACUGCGUGUGAUACUGGCGGGCUUGAAUUCGGGAGAGGGAUGUGGAAUUCCAGGUGUAGCGGUGAAAUUCGUAGAUAUUCGCAAGAACACCAGUGGCGAAGGCGGCUCACUGGCCCGGUACUGACGCUGAGGUGCGAAAGCGUGGGGAGCAAACAGG
rnacentral:rRNA from 1 species